CUCUGAGGUGACCUUUGACCUCUUUUAUCAUGGAUGAUGUUGUGAGUUUCUCAUAAUGAUCUUCUGUUCUUCAUAUGAAGCUCAAUCAUCAUGAUUCACAGAAAAACCUGCAGCUUCAAAUAAAUUAAUCAAUAAUUCUGAACAUUUCAUAAGCACAUUGUUUAAUCUAGUGUCACAUGACCUGAUUAUGAGUCCUGAUGAACAUGUCAACCUUCAUCAAAACACCAUUAUGUAUCUUUUUUUUGUUUUGUUUUGUUUACUCUAAAUACAGUAAAACUUUUUCUCAUUGUUAACGUGUUUUUAAAGAUGUAGUACAUUACUGUACUCACAAAGAAAUAAUUAUUGUGUUUGACAAAUAUGUUUAAAAUGAUCGACUUUCAUGAUACUAUAGUCAUUUUAGGGGCCUAAAAAAAAUCUUUUAUUUUUCUUCCUUAAGUUGGCCACCAUUUUGAGAUCACAUGACCAGCUGAAUGCUGCUCACUUUCCCUGCGUCCCAAUGUCCAUAUUAUCCAUCCUAAAUAGUAUGUGAGAUUAAAAUAAGUGUGUCCCAAAGCAUAGUAUGUUGGAAAGGGUAUGCCAAAAGUCCCCGGAUGGUCUACUAUUUCCGGUAGAUUUUGGAAGUGUGGAUCCGUGCACACUAUAAAGGCUAAUAUUGCCCACAACCCAUUGCGCUUUGGAUGAGGAUUCAGUUCAGAACUACAAACACGAGUAAAAAGUGUUAAAAAACUACAAAACAUGGUGGAUCUGCGCGACCGACGCUGAGAGGUUUGAGUGACUAAUAAUCAGUUCAACCUGAUAGAAAAUAUUUAUUUAAUGUUAUCCGUGUUAUAUUUCAUCUGCAAUACCAAUGUGGACUUUUAUAAAGAUCUGAUUGGCCAUUAACUUUUAAAUGCAUCAUUAUGCAUUAAUAUGAGGAGAGUUCUCCACAUGAAAGACCCGCGACUGCAGAUCAGCGUGCUACUGCAUUUCUCUCCGAUACGGUAGGAAAUUAGCUAAAUGAAAUGUGGAGGAUGUAAGAUGAUUGACAGGCCAGUUUACGGUGACAGGAUGCGACAGAGAGCAAAGACGCAAUUGUAUGACGUGAUAGUAUGUCCCAAAGCUUGUCUACUCUUUUGCUAAAGUAUGUACAGCGGCACUGAAAGCUGAAAAUGCUUCAUCCACACUGACAGAAGUUCAUAUAAAGUCAAAGACUAGUGUCUUAUCAGUCUGCAAAACAUAAAAAAACAUUUUAUAAUUAAAAUUAAAAAAUAUUUACAAUAAUCAAUAUUUACAAUUAUUACAAACGACAUAAUCUGUAAAAUCUUAGGUUGCACUUUAUUUCGAGGGUCACUUUUGAUAUUCUACUAACUAUAAGUGACUUGUCAACUACAUGUCAACUAACUCUCAUUAGUGUAUUAGUAGACUGUAGUAGACUGUUAGGUUUGGGUUCAGUUAAGUAGAAUAAGUUGACAUGUAGUUGUAAAGUUACUUACAGUCAGUAGAAUGUCUAAAGUAGACCACUGAAAUACCAAAUCUUAUAUGUAGAGAGUUUGUUAGUUUGUUAGCAGCACACACUGUUGUAAAUCCUGCCCACUUCUUUGCAUUGUCACACAUGCUUCAGUGCUCUGAGAGUGUUUAUAGUGCUGUGAGUUUAACACUUCAUGACUGAGAGCAGAACAGAACACAAUCUUCAUCAUCACACAAGACAAAAGAACAACAAUGAACAAAAUCACCUUCUUCAUCUGGACUCUCACACUGAUCGCUCAAGAGUGUAGAGGACAGUACACUGUAACUCAGAGUCCAUCAAUAACAGCAGUUCAACCAGGACAAGAAGUCAGAAUAAACUGUAAAACCAGCAGUAGAGUGUAUGGUGGUAAUUAUUUAGCCUGGUACUUACAGAAACCUGGAGAAGCUCCUAAACUCCUCAUAUAUCAUGCAACAAGCCGUUAUACUGGAACUCCAUCUAGAUUCAGUGGCAGUGGAUCUGACAGUGAUUUCACUCUGACCAUCAGUGGAGUCCAGACUGAAGAUACAGGAGAUUAUUACUGUCAGAGUUUACACUAUCCAAACAGUGUAUGGGUGUUCACACAGUGAUAAAGAGUGGUACAAAAACCUCGGUCAGUCAGACGUCACAGUGAUGCACUGAUACAGCUGAGAGAUACUGCAGCUGCUGAUGGAGGAUCACAAACAACACAAUAUUGUAUCAAACCUUUCAGAAACAUUAUUUAUUUAUUUGGAUGUACUAAGCAUGUAACAUAAUCUUUAUAUUAUAUAAAUGUUAGUGGUGUUUGGUCCUGCAAAACUUUCCACUACAAUGUAAUCGAACUGCAGGAAAGUCAGUCACUUUAAUUGCACUUCCAUGCUUCAUCACUAGAUGGCGUGUCUGUUACAUAACUGAGUUCUCUAUCUGUCAGUCACUUUGACGUUGUGUCGAUGUGAUGACACUAGUGUAGUGUUUCUCAACCUUUUUUACUCGAUGACCUCCUCCUUCACCAGAUCAAUACUGCAGUGCCCCCCUAAGAUGCCUGACAUUUCCUCUUAUACUGAACUUCCACAGCAAAGAGAGAAAAGUGUUUGUAUUUAAGCCUUUUUAUUAACAUUUGUUUGCAUUAUUACUCUUCUACUGCAUGUUUUGUAAUAUUCUUUAAUAUUCUUUUUGAAAACAUAAUUGGUAAAUUAAAGCUAUGCUUUAUAACUUAAAAGAAGUCCCUCUGCUAAAUUAUAAUACUCUGAUGUUACCCAGGUCGAGUGAUUGCAUCUGUGCCAACAGAACGAUUGAAACUCCCAUCUAAAGCCUGUCGGUUCACGUCGUCCCUGAUAACAAGAACUUAAUGCUGUUGGACAGGCUGUCUCUGCUGUACAUGCCACGGACAUGAACGAGGAUAGUCCCGACCCAGCACACAUGCAGGAACUAUGCUCAUCAACCGAUUUAUUAAUAAUUAAUAAUCAUCAAUAAUUAAUAAUCAUAAACUGUGAGGUAAGAUUAGUUUACACACAUCAGAAGGCCUACUCUCUCAUCCCUGCAUAGAAAGACACAUGAGAUGCUAAAAUUCAAUGGUUAAAAGCAGCACUUUAAAGGAAAAUUCACUAAUCACUGAUGCACAUUAUGACAGAAACCCUUAACAAUGUUCUAACAUCAUAAAUACAGCGAUUAUGAUAUAAAUAGACAAUAAAGCAAAUACAGGAUAAAUGUGAAACAACAAAACGACCUCUGCUUCCCCGUCGACAUACAGCAUGAGCGCAAAUGCUUAAAGGGGAAACAAUAAAUCUUCCUAUGGUGUCCCAGUAAUUGUUCCCGAUUAAACCACUGAAAAUACAACAUUACAUACAAGUUUUGCUGAAGUUAACUCAAUUAUAGAAUUGUUUCUUUAUUCCUCUAUGGCAUGGUGUCGCCCUCAGGGCAACAUAAAACGUUUUUGGACUUCACACUGGAUCUAUAUAUGACACAUCUGUUCAAUGAAAUGAGGGGCUGAAGUGGGUGCAGCCUUUUCUGUUUAUCCACAUUUCCUGAUGGAUAUAUUAUCAGGGACCCCCAAUCAGAAUGUGAGGUGGAGGGUUUCUGAAAGUACACUGCACUGCUACAGCAAACAAUAGACAAGUGUUUGAAUGUUGAGCAGCAAGAUCAUUGACUACUGAUACAGCAGGAAUCAUUCAGUUGUGUCCUGUAGAGAAUGAUGUGUAAAUGUGUAUGUCUGACUCUGUAUAUUUACUGUUACUGUGCUUUGGUGAUGUAAAGCCUUUCUUUUAACCCUGUCAGUAAAACUAUUGGACUCUGAA